AAGUGUUACAGCUCUUUUAGAAUUGGUCUAGCAGGUUUUCUGGUUUGUACUAGAAAAACCAUA
ensembl:snRNA U7 U7 small nuclear RNA